AAAGGUGCUUGGAGGCCUUUGGAGUGAUCCAAAGCCACUGUUGAAUGUGUGUAAUACUCCUUUUGCUCAUUAUUGUCACAACGGGCAUAGUUCACAGAAGAAUGUUAAAGGCGAUACGGGUUGUGUCAAUGGGUUACAGCAUGGGCAUUUCUCUGACAUCAAGUUUAACAACGGCAUGAAGUCUUGUAAUAAGAAGAGGGGUCAGUGUCCGGGUCACGGUGACAACGGACGGAAGUGCAUCUUUGUACGGGCGAACGGAAGCUUUAGGCCCUGCCUACAGGCUGGUGUUCAGUGCACGCACGUCCCUAAUUGCAACACGAAUUAGGCUAUAAAAUAGACAGUUCACCGCGGCCUCUCAGCAUUUCUCACCUACAAGUUUUGCUUUUAACGCUUUGAAUUUAUGCUAAUAUACUUUUUACAGGGUUCUAUUCCGGAGAGGGAGCCUGAGAAACGGCUACCACAUCCAAGGAAGGCAGCAGGCGCGCAAAUUACCCAAUCCCGACACGGGGAGGUAGUGACAAUAAAUACUGAUGGUGGGUUCUUUUGGAUCUACCAAUUGGAAUGAGUACAAUUUAAAUCCCUUAACGAGGAACAAUUGGAGGGCAAGUCUGGUGCCAGCAGCCGCGGUAAUUCCAGCUCCAAUAGCGUAUAUUAAAGUUGUUGCAGUUAAAAAGCUCGUAGUUGAACUUUGGGUCUGGCUGAUCUGUCCUCCUAAUCGAGCGCACGGAUUCGGUCGGACCUUUCCUUCUGGGGAACCCGAUGCCCUUCAC
rnacentral:rRNA from 1 species